GGAAGCUGCCAAUGCGGAACUGUUUGCAAGUAACUUCAAAAACCUAGAUUAUGUGAAAGUCCCAUCGAUAUACUGGGAAUAUACCACACCACAGGUUUUGACAAUGGAGUAUGUCCCAGGCAUUAAAAUAAACAGGAUUCAAGCCUUAGAUCAAUUGGGCGUUGAUAGGAAAAGGUUAGGGCGGUAUGCGGUUGAAUCCUAUCUGGAGCAAAUUCUGUCUCAUGGUUUCUUUCAUGCUGAUCCACAUCCUGGAAAUAUAGCUGUGGAUGAUGUUAAUGGUGGAAGGUUGAUCUUUUAUGAUUUUGGA
rnacentral:misc_RNA from 1 species